UAUUGUUUUUUCUGUUCUUAUUUUGUUAGGUUUAUACUUGCUUUUUAGCUGAUCCCAGUUUCAUUCUCUUGUGUUUCCCUUUAAGGUCCCAAGAGACACUACCCACCCAGUUCUCCCUUCUUCUCCCCACUACUAAUGCAGUGUCCCUGACAGGGAAUUAAUAGCUUCUUUGGGAAGCAGGAGGUAGGGAAAUGGAAUGGGGAGAAGGGACAUAAGUGGAUUUUGGAGAAGUAUGGCGAGGAAUUUGGGAGAUACUGCUAAGGCAGCAUAUGGACUGCUGCACCAGCCAUGCCCCCUCCAUGGAAAGAAGAACACCCUCUCCAUGGAAAGAAGAAUAGCAUCUCUCUAGCUCGACGAAGAAGUUCUCGGCUCUCUUCAGACACUUCCUGAACUGAGAGAAAACAAAUAGCCCAUGUUAGCUGCACGUCUGAUGCUGCAAU